UGUCCCAGUUCGGACUGGAGUCUGCAACCCGACUCCACGAAGUUGGAUUCGCUAGUAAUCGCGCAUCAGCCAUGGCGCGGUGAAUACGUUCCCGGGCCUUGUACACACCGCCCGUCAAGCCAUGGGAGCCGGGGGCGCCUGAAGUCCGGGACCGCGAGGACCGGCCUAGGGCGAGACUGGUAACUGGGGCUAAGUCGUAACAAGGUAGC
rnacentral:rRNA from 1 species